ACCACUCGCAGUUUAUCCAGCAGUUCAGGAACCAUGUCUGUCAGGUUUUCCACUGUGAAGGAGCAGAGAGGCAAGACAUAAACUUAAGGGGACAGGCAGCAUCAGAUACUGAGGACUCCAUUUUGAAGCAAAUGCAAAAGCAAAGUCAAGAGAGUGAACAGUACAAGUAACUCAGCCUGCUGAACGGUUCUCACUGCCCCCUCAAGGAGCUCCCUGGUGUCAGACAGCCUGCUGCUGAGCUCCGAGAGCUUGUGCUGAA